GAGGGUACAGCUCAGUGGUAAACUGCGUGCUUAGCAUGCAUGAGGUCUUGGGCUCAAAUCCCAGUACCUCCA
rnacentral:tRNA from 1 species